rnacentral:rRNA from 1 species
CGGGAGGGCGAGCGUUAUCCGGCGUAACUGGGUGUAAAGGGUUUGUAGACUGUAAAUAAGUUACUUGUAAAUGUUAAAGCUCAACUUUAAUUAAGCUUGUAAUACUGUUUACUUGAGUUUUAUACGGAAGAGUAGAAUUUUACAUGUAAGGGUGAAUCUAAUAAUAUGUAAAGGAAUACCUUUAGCGAAGGCGACUCUUUGGUAAAAACUAGACGUUGAGAAACGAAGUAUGGGGAGCAAACAGGAUU